rnacentral:tRNA from 1 species
GGCCCCGUAGCCCAAUUGGCAGAGGCAGGAGACUUAAAAUCUCUCAAGUGUGGGUUCGAAUCCCACCGGGGCUA